rnacentral:rRNA from 1 species
GAUGAACGCUGGCGGCGUGCCUAACACAUGCAAGUCGAGCGAUCUUCUUCGGAAGAGAGCGGCGGACGGGUGAGUAACGCGUGGGUAACCUGCCCUGUACACACGGAUAACAUACCGAAAGGUAUGCUAAUACGAGAUAAUAUGCUUUUAUCGCAUGGUAGAAGUAUCAAAGCUCCGGCGGUACAGGAUGGACCCGCGUCUGAUUAGCUAGUUGGUAAGGUAACGGCUUACCAAGGCGACGAUCAGUAGCCGACCUGAGAGGGUGAUCGGCCACAUUGGAACUGAGACACGGUCCAAACUCCUACGGGAGGCAGCAGUGGGGAAUAUUGCACAAUGGGCGAAAGCCUGAUGCAGCAACGCCGCGUGAGCGAUGAAGGCCUUCGGGUCGUAAAGCUCUGUCCUCAAGGAAGAUAAUGACGGUACUUGAGGAGGAAGCCCCGGCUAACUACGUG